GGCUGGUCUUGAACUCCUGACAGGUGAUGCGUCCGCCUCGGCCUCCCAAAGUGCUAGGAUUACAGGCAUGAACCACUGCACCCAACCUGAAAUUGUCUUUUUAAAUUCUGGAAAAUGGAUAUUCAAAUGGCUUUGGAUUUUUACUUAAAUCUGUGGAUUCAUAACUAAUUUAGGAUUAUUGAUCUCAUUCAGAAUCUGAAGAAAGCAGUGAAUUCCUUUGUCUUUAGUACAGACGAGGUUUCACUGUGUUAGCCAGGAUGGUCUCGAUCUCCUGACCUCGUGAUCCACCCACCUCGGCCUCUCAAAGUGCUGGGAGUACAGGCGUGAGCCACCGCGCCUGGCCCCACUAAGUCCUUUUAAAAGUUAAAUGCUUUUGAGUCUUAGUUCUUUUAGGGACUACCCCUUAAGCAUCUUUCAAUAGACUUUUUAUGAGUGGGUUGGCGAGUGUAUAGUAACCUUGCUAGUUUUAGGCACACAGGCUGCCAUUUUUAUAACCAUUCACAGGAAAUGAGUGUGUUCAUGCAGCAAUCCACUCUAUCUUAUCAAAGGUAACUCCAAGAACUUGCUUCUGUGAAUGUAACAUUGGUGUAUGAAAUUCUGUGUUGUUAGAAUCAUGGAAUCAUAUAUCUAUAUGAGACCUUGGUGAUCAGCUAGAACAGGACUCCCCAGCUUUUUAUGGCACUUAUUGAAAAACAUCAAUGUGUAUAUGGUUGUGAUUUGUCAGAGUCUUAUCCAGGCCACCACCCAAGUGUAAACCCAUUGAUACCUAUUGGGAAUGUCUGAUUGACAGUCCAGGAGUUUCCAACCUUUGUGUAUAAGGCAUCCCCUUUUAAUCUCUGACAGUUAAUGGGUAGUAUCUGUAGAUUGGAAAGAAGAUAUGCUAUGGGCAAUUUUUUUCAGCUUCACAGAUUGAGACCACUUCAGUAGUCAUCACACUUAUGCUCACUUAAAGAGGAGAAAACCAAGGCUCCAAGUCUCGUAGGGGUAUGUGAUUUGCCCAUGCGUCCCGUUUAUUGGAAUCUGGAUAUGCCUCCCUGCUUCAUGCUGCUGUUGCUUUUUAAGUUUUUUUUUUUUUAAACCAUACCAUCUCUACAUCUUGUGUAUUUUCAUAUGUUUUAUUUACCUGACUACCUUGGCUCCGUGGAUAUUACCUUUUCUUAACUACUCCCCUUAUUAAGCCAUACACUCAUGAACAUCACUAAAGGUCAGAAGAUCACCAGAGUGAUGAAUCCAGGCAGAGCUGCUGUGUUAAGGAGAACAUAAGACUAGACAUGGGUGCAGGUUUAGGACUCUGUUACGUGAUACACUACUAGGAUGUGUUGCAAGGGAGAAAGAGUGAGUGACAUGUGAUUAGUCAAGGUCUAUAUAGAACCCAAGCCCUGGUUGGCAUGUACAAUCAGAAGUCCAACUAUCAAAGAGUCAAAGCAGAUAUUGAAGAGAUCUAAUAACUCGUUAUUGGGGUGCUGGCACAAGAAGCCCAACAGAUAAAGCACCCAGUCCCCGAGGUCACUGUGGCAUGCAGCAAGGAGGAACAAAUCACAUUCCUGUGAGGAGGAAGCCACAGUCAAGCAGGACUAGAAGCAAGCCUAAUUCUAAAGACCACCACAAUACUAUAAUGUAUAUUGGAUUCAGGAUUGCAGUUGGCAGGUUAUUCAGACACAUAUUUAAAUGCUUAAAGAUGCAUCUCUUUAUGGCAUUGCCUUUUCCUUGGCCUGAACCCAGCUAAGUAUAAUGGAGGAGGAAGCAAGGAAGAAAAGAAGUUGCUGUGGCUCAUCUAGCAGUGUAGGUAAUUGAGGGAGAUCAGGUGCAUUCAGAACAUGAGGUAGCCUCAAAGAUUUGAAGUUUCUUUUAAAAAUGUGUAUGGUCUUAUUCUUGUGAAUUGUCACAUUUGGCCUCUUUAAAAUUUACAAUAAGAAAUGGUAAUGUAACAGAAUAAAAAAAAAUACAAGAUGAAACACAUCCUUUUUCUUUAAAAUGAUUUCCCUGUGAAAUUGAACGUAUUAGCACAUUGCUACCUUCUAACUGUAGAGAUCUUUAUUAAACUAUUUUUCCUCCAUUAAUUUUUAGGACCGUGUGGCGUAGUUAAGUUGCUGAAAAGGGGAACUUCUAAUUCAGACUCUUGCCUAUUUCAGGUCUAGGUUUUUCUUGUUGCGUAGAACUGUCCUUUUUUCUGAUACCACCACUGUGUUUUAGACCUAAUAAUUCUAGCUUACUAAGAUAUGAUUGUUUUUGAAAAAUUAUUCAUAAUAAUAACAAAUAUAUAUGUAUGUAUGCAUAUGUAUAAAGCAAUCAUUUAUAUGUAAAACAGCCACACCACCAUAAUGUGUAGUUAUUUUUUAGGAGGAGCAAGAUAAAACCCCUUUCUUAGGAAAACAAGCCACCAACAGUUAUUGAAUAUCUUCAUGGCAGAGUGUGUUGCAUGUGCUCUUUCAUUUAAUAAUCACAACCCCUUAAAGUAGGUGGUGUUAUCAUCUCCAUUUUACAGAUGAUGAAAUUGAAGCUGAAGGUCACAUUGCUGAUAAAUAGCAGAGCUAGGAUUUGAACUCUGAUCUAUUAAACUCCAAAGUUUACGCUUUUUUUUUGAGACAGAGUUUCACUCUGUCACCCAGGCUGGAGUGCAGUGGUGUGAUCUUGGCUUACUGCAAUUUCCACCUCCCGGGUUCUAGCGAUUCUCCUGCCUCAGGCUCCCAGGUAGCUGGGACUACAGACGCUCGUCACCUUGCCCGGCUGAUUUUUUGUAUUUUUAGUAGAGACAGGGUUUUGCCUUGUUGGCCAGGCUGGUCUCAAACUCCUGACCUCAGGUGAUCCGCCUGCUUCAGCCUCCCAAAAUGCUGGGAUUAUAGGCGUGAGCCACUGCACCCGGCCUUGGUCAGAUUUCAAAAGGGUUAUUGUCUUUCUGUGUUAUAAGUGGGACUUAGCCUAGGUUUUGACUUUAGUAUUUUCUUUCUCCAAAUGGUCCAGUAUCUUCAAGGUUAGGGAAAGGAUUCUUGGUAAAAAUAUGAAACCAGAACUCUCAUAAUUAUUUAACAAGUGUGAUCAUUUAAAAAGAGUAAUGGUAAACCACCAGUUUAUUUUGUGAUUCUCUAAAAUGAUAACUCUGGAAAUAAAAUUUAAAUUACAAUUUUAGCACUUUCCCAUCACAUUUAUGUUCAGGUUUUGUUAUCAGAUGACUGGAAUAGGUGCAAAGAUGUUUUGAGUCAAAUAUUUUAUUACAGCACCUAUCUUAAAAUUCAGGAAUUUCAAGUCAUUUUUGUGAGGAGCUAUUUUUGACUUCCUUUUUUUUUUUUGCUCUGAGGAAGAUUGAUGCAUGUAUGUGUGAUGAUGAAUUAUGAUGGUGAAGUCCCUUAAUUGGAGGUGGAAGUCCCAAUGAAGUUUUUAGCCACAUCCUUUGUCAUGGAUAUGUCCAAAUGUCCAAGAAGAGGGGGCUAGGUGGCAAGUGCUACCUUGAAGUCAGACACAUCCAAACUCAUUGUCAGAAACCUCUUUCUUAAGGAAUAGUACUACUACUUUCUUCCCUCCAAGCAGAAGGAAGGACCAGCAAAAUAGUCUUUGGCCAGGUUUGUCAGUUACGAAGUGUCGAUCUGGCCGGGCGCGGUGGCUCACGCCUGUAAUCCCAGCACUGUGGGAGGCCGAGGCAGGCAGAUCACGAGGUCAGGAGAUCGAGACCAUCCUGGCUAACAGGGUGAAACCCCAUCUCUACUAAAAAUACAAAAAAUUUGCCAGGCUUGGUGGCAGGCGCCUGUAGUCCCAGCUACUCGGGAGGCUGAGAAAGGAGAAUGGCGUGAACAUGGGAGGCGGAACUUGCAGUGAGCCGAGAUCGCGCCACUGCACUCCAGACUGGGCAACAGAGCAAGACUCCAUCUCAAAAAAAAAAGUGUCAAUCAAUUGCAGUGCUACAGCUGCUCCUCCUUUUUAAAAUUAGGUUUUACUGCUCCAAAUAUUGAAAGUUAUUUUUACAAAUCUUCCCUUUUAAAUAAAACUGAAUAUAUUUUUCCUCACUGAUAUUAAUACAGGAUCAAUACUAGUGGAAUCUGUUUUCUAGACUAGAUACCAUUCAAGGCCCCAGGUGGAAAUGUUUAGCUGGGAAUUUUGUCUUAAAAAACUGAGUAUCUUUCUCCUUGCCAUUAUGUUUAUUAUGCAAAGUUAUCCAGUUUUUCUUAAUGUAAUACAUAUUUUCCAGUCAAUUUGGACCUUUCUUUUUUUCUUUUUUUUUUUGAGACAGAGUCUCACCCUGUCUCCCAGGCUGGAGUGCAGUGGCAUGAUCUCAGCUCACUGCAACGUCCACCUCACGGGUUCAAGUGAUUCUUCUGCCUCAGCCUGUCAAGUAGCGGGGACUGCAGCCAUGUGCCGCCACACCUGGCUAAUUUUUUUGUAUUCUUAGUAGAGAUGGGGUUUCACCAUGUUGGCCAGGAUGGUGUCAAUCUCCUGACCUUGUGGUCUGCCUGCCUCAGCCUUCCAAAGUCC
rnacentral:lncRNA from 10 species